rnacentral:misc_RNA from 1 species
UGGCUCUGGCAUNGAUGAAGAACGCAGCGAAAUGCGAUAAGUAGUGUGAAUUGCAGAAUUCAGCGAAUCAUCGAAUCUUUGAACGCACAUUGCGCCCUUCGGUUAUUCCUUAGGGCAUGCCUGUUCGAGCGUCAUUUCAACCUUCAAGCUCAGCUUGGUGUUGGGUGUUUGUCCCGCCCCCCGCGCGUGGACUCGCCUCAAAUUGAUUGGCAGCCGCAUCCCCCCGCCGCGAGCGCAGCACAGUCGCGCUUACGACGAGGGUGGGUCGGCGCUCCAGAAGCCUAUUUCAACGUCUUGACCUCGGAUCAGGUAGGGAUACCCGCUGA